rnacentral:rRNA from 1 species
UACGAAGGGGGCUAGCGUUGCUCGGAAUCACUGGGCGUAAAGGGUGCGUAGGCGGGUCUUUAAGUCAGGGGUGAAAUCCUGGAGCUCAACUCCAGAACUGCCCUUGAUACUGAGGAUCUUGAGUUCGGGAGAGGUGAGUGGAACUGCGAGUGUAGAGGUGAAAUUCGCAGAUAUUCGGAAGAACACCAGUGGCGAAGGCGACACACUGGCCCGAUACUGACGCUGAGGCGCGAAAGCGUGGGGAGCAAACAGG